AACGAACGCUGGCGGCAGGCCUAACACAUGCAAGUCGAGCGAAGCCUUCGGGCUUAGCGGCGGACGGGUGAGUAACACGUAGGUGAUCUGCCCUGGAGUGGGGGAUAACUUCUCGAAAGAGAGGCUAAUACCGCAUACGCUCGGCCAUUCAGUUGGUCGAGUAAAGCUCCGGCGCUCCAGGAGGGGCCUGCGUCCGAUUAGCUAGUUGGUGAGGUAAUGGCUCACCAAGGCGAUGAUCGGUAGCUGGUCUGAGAGGACGAUCAGCCACACUGGCACUGACACACGGGCCAGACUCCUACGGGAGGCAGCAGUGAGGAAUAUUGGUCAAUGGGCGAAAGCCUGAACCAGCAACGCCGCGUGAGGGAUGAAGGCCUUCGGGUCGUAAACCUCUUUUCUGGGAGAAGAGACAAGGACGGUAUCCCAGGAAUAAGUCUCGGCUAACUACGUGCCAGCAGCCGCGGUAACAC
rnacentral:rRNA from 1 species